CAGCCCGGCGCGGGGCGGGGGAGGCCGGACCGAGGGGAUCCUGGGAGUUGUAGUCCAAAGCGGUGGCCCGGCCCGCGGGCUGGAAGCCCGGCUGGGAGCUGAGAGCCCCCGCGGUGCGGCAGCGCGGGCAGCGGGGAAAUCCACUGACUGACCCUUAGGACCCCAGGGAUGGCUGCAGCUAUGACCUGCCUGCAGGUCCUCGCUUGCACCUGUCCCUGGUACACCCCUUUGUUUCCUGACGUGGUGUUCCUGCUGCUGGAGGCGGUCCUGCUGCUGGAGACGAGCCCAGUCUCGCCUCUUCUGUCUCGAAAGAACUCCCAUUCUUUCGUCCCCCUGGUCUUCUUGGAGCCUGCCCCAUGCGCGCCUCCCUGGGCGCGGACGCCGCUCCCAGCACACCUGUUCCACGUCUCCGGGUGAGAACCCCUCUGGAAACCUAAGGGGAAGAUCUGAGGAUGAAGAGAAACACGCUCUUGGUGGUCUGAGAUAGAAAAACUGUGAAUGUUCAUGCACAACAAUCAUCGGAGGCGCGCAAGCAAACGACUGCAUUUGUUGUUUUAAUUUUUAAUUUAUAUUACAUUUCAUAUUCAUGAAAAUUUUAUGAGUAUCUGAGAAAUGGGUGAUUUUAAUCUCCUUUUCUGUGAACUGAUUGUUCGUAUCUUCCUAUGUCUUUGUUGGUUGAUUUGUUUUCUUUUGGUCCAGUAUGGUUUACAUACGGUGUUAUGUUUGAGGUGUACAAUAUAGUGAUUAACACUUCCAUACCACACCCAGUGCUCAUCAGCGACUUCACCCACCUUCCUACUCACCUCCCCCCUGAUAACCGCAGUUGGUUCUCUCUAGCUAAGAGUCUGCUUUUGAUUUGUCUUUUCUUUUUGUUUUGUUUCUUAAACUCCACGUUUAAGUAAGAUCAUAAGCUUUUCUCUGAUGGACUUAACUUCGAUUAGCAUAAUACCCCCUGGCUCCAUCCAUGUUGUUGCAGAUGACAAGAUUUCAUUCUUAUACU